AUGUUUCUGCGUUUGAAUUGUCCAACAGGCUUUGAAGAUAGGGAUGGGGAACAGAGGGGCGAAGGAGAGAAUAAGAUAGGGAUGGGGAACAGAGGGGCGAAGGAGAGAAUAAGAAGGGAUGGGGAACAGAGGGGCGAAGGAGAGAAUAAGAUAGGGAUGGGGAACAGGGACAGAGGGGCGAAGGAGAGAAUAAGAUAGGGAACAGGGACAGAGGGGCGAAGGAGAGAAUAAGAGAUUUGAUAAAUGUGGCCAUGUUAACUGAAAUGCAUCCUAGCCUACUGAACGUCAGCCAUGGUCAGGACAACCAGAGGACAUGUUUUAACAUGUAAAAGUGAUUUCAUAAUUACAUGUUUCAUUGUCAUUACAGUAAUAGGGUUCUUAAAGAGAGCACCAGCCUCAACAGUCAACCAGAAAGUCAACCAACCACCUCAACAUUUAACCAUACUACAACAUGUAUUUGAAAGAAACACAACCUAACCAUCUAGCUAAGAAGAAUUGAACAGCUGGAACCAGAAAGUGUAUUUGUGGUGAUGAUAGAAGUCAGAAUAUGGAAAAAGAGACGUGGAUCUGUAGUGAUGAAGAGAUCGCUAUAACAAGCCUCUCCUCCGUGUGUGGUUUACCUACUGAAGUAAGGCUUUAGGGAGUUUUAUGCAGUCUUGCCUUGAUUAUAUUCAGUAGAGCAAACAUUUAGUCACAGAAAAACAAAUCUCUUAUUAUUGGACAAGUUCCUGUAGUUUUCUCCUGUUUUAUACCUACUGAACAUGACCCAGGUCUUAUUUGUUAUACAGACAGGCAGGCAGCAGCUAUAACAUGAUGACUAAGGAAUGGAAUACAGUGGGAAUGAAUAAGGAAAACCUUCAAUAAUACAAAAGAACUGGAGACAAAUGAAUCAAACUGAUGAUUGAGCGUAGUUGAGAGAGCAGAGGGUACUGCCACAGAGUAAAGCAUACCUUUUUACAGAGAGUCAUCACCAUCCAUCCA
rnacentral:lncRNA from 13 species